GGAGGGUACAGCUCAGUGGUAGAGUACAUGCUUAGCAUGCAUGAGGUCCUGGGUUCAAUCCCCAGCACCUCCA
rnacentral:tRNA from 1 species